GUUUGCCUCAGCAGUACGUUACUAAAACUGAAUGAUAGAUAAAAUUAGCAUGGCCCCUGCACAACAAUAAUAUGUAAGUUCAUGAACCAUUCAUAUUAUUU
rnacentral:snRNA from 1 species